UCUAUUUGGCAUCUCAGUUCUGCAAAAUCCUUCAGAUGAGUAGUCCAUGUGUGAACCUAUGAUAUCCUUGGAACUCUGUGGCUGGUUGUUUUCACUUGACUGACUGUGAAUCUGUGUGGAAGGGAGCCCUCAUCUAAGCAUCUGCCCUGGAACCUCCAGGUUCAUACUCAGGGCCGGCCAUGGAGAACCGUAGAGAAGGUCUUCAACUACAGAGCUUCAGUCAAGUCUAUUGCCAAGACCUCUCUACCCUUCCAGCAAUAGAGGCCACAAACUCAAGCUAGCAAGCCGAGCUAGUCAUGACCCAGCCAAGAGAGUUGCCAAGACCAAGAGCCCCUUCCCUGAGAACUAGUUGGUUCCUGGCCACCUUGGCCCAGGGACCCCAAACCCAAGAGCUCCAGCUCCCACAGGACCCCAGAUUGUGUUCUCUCCAUCCCCAGAGUGGAGUCCUGCAGCUUCUCAGUCAGGCGUCCGCCCGGUGCUGGCCUGGAGUGAACCCGGUCAAAUUCCUGUGUCCCUGCCUCCCUGAGCUGCAGCCCAGUCCCUUGGGGCAACAGACACCACGGGACACACAAGUCAACCCAA